rnacentral:rRNA from 1 species
GACGUAGGGGGCGAGCGUUAUUCGGAAUCAUUGGGCGUAAAGCGCGCGCAGGCGGUUGUGCAAGACAGAUGUGAAAUCCCCGGGCUUAACCUGGGAACUGCAUUUGAGACUGCACGGCUAGAGUGUGUCAGAGGGGGGUAGAAUUCCACGUGUAGCAGUGAAAUGCGUAGAGAUGUGGAGGAAUACCGAUGGCGAAGGCAGCCCCCUGGGAUAACACUGACGCUCAUGCACGAAAGCGUGGGGAGCAAACGGG